UUUUUGACCCCUCAAGAGACACAGGUCUACUUUAUAUAUCAUCAAGAAAGUGUUUGAAAAAUAUGAGAUCAAUGAAAAAAAUUCACAAAAUAGAAAAACUUUAAGCUGAUUUGAUUUGCCACCUGAAUAUAUUUUUGGAGCAAAGCUGAAUUACUUUGAAACUGUGAGUAAAAAGUCAUAAU